AUUGAACGCUGGCGGCAUGCUUUACACAUGCAAGUCGAACGGUAGCAGGCCGCAAGGUGCUGACGAGUGGCGCACGGGUGAGUAAUGCAUCGGAACGUGCCCAGUCGUGGGGGAUAACUACUCGAAAGAGUAGCUAAUACCGCAUACGAUCUAUGGAUGAAAGCGGGGGACCGUAAGGCCUCGCGCGAUUGGAGCGGCCGAUGUCAGAUAAGGUAGUUGGUGGGGUAAAGGCUCACCAAGCCAACGAUCUGUAGCUGGUCUGAGAGGACGACCAGCCACACUGGGACUGAGACACGGCCCAGACUCCUACGGGAGGCAGCAGUGGGGAAUUUUGGACAAAGGGCGCAAGCCUGAUCCAGCAAUGCCGCGUGCAGGAAGAAGGCCUUCGGGUUGUAAACUGCUUUUGUACGGAACGAAACGGCUCUGGUUAAUACCCGGGGCUAAUGACGGUACCGUAAGAAUAAGCACCGGCUAACUACGUG
rnacentral:rRNA from 1 species